AUGGGGCUCGAACCCAUGAACUGCAAGAUCAUGACCUGAGCCGAAGUCGGACGCUCAACCACCACAGCCACCACGUGCCCCUCUUCCCUGAUGCUUCUGUUGUCAAUUUGAAGAAGUGCCUCUUCCAAAUAUGCCACAUCUGUUCAGCACCCUCUGAACUCCUACCUGCAGAUCUCUCUUCUUGGACCGCAUUCCACACUCGGCCCGCUCUGAGUCCCCACUUCGAGGCUUGCCUUCGUGAGAAAGACCUCCCCCAGUUCUCCCCAGAUAUUAACUGAACCGAUUUGAUGCCGGGCUCUGGCACAUGGGGUGAACAAGAUCCAUGAGGGCGUCUCCCUUAUGCCCCUUAGAGCAGGACAGACGUUCACCAAACACAAAGCUUCUGCUACGCAUCAGGUUUGGAGACUGUAGAUCUAAUCAGCGUCCACUCCUCAAUCACACGCACACGCGGAUGGCGGAGAGUGCGUACUUUAUGAUAUCUGAGGAGGAGGAUGCUACGGGUGCCCUCCGAGAAUCACAGCUAACGUCACCCAUCAAAACACGAGUCAAAAAUAGCCCAUGAUAAUAACAACGUCGACUAUAAAUCCCACUCGCUAGAUCACUGAAGAUACCACGAGAAGCUUUCUGAGCUCCCAGUGACCUAGUCCAAACUGUGACCUGGACCACUCAUAUCAGAGCCAUUAAAAAUUCAGAUUCCUGGGCCCGGGCAAGACCAACUGAAACCGAAUUUCUGAGGAACUAAGAAGUCUGCAUUUUAACAGAAUCUGAGGUGAUCCUCACGCAUGAUCAGGACUGAGAGUCACUGAUUUGGAUGGAUGCCGUUAUCCAUCCCUGUAACCACACCGCCCAGCAUGAAGAAGAGGUUAAACAAAUGUACGCUGAAUGGAAGCCUGAAUGGCAGGACAGCCCUUUCCCAUGGGACUGAGAAAAACAAAUCUGAGGAACCGCCUCAGCCGUGACAAGAGGCCAGGAAGAGACUACGAGAAGUAGCGAAAGAAAGGAAGAGAGAUCAGACGCUGUGUCGCGGGUCCAGAGGAGAAGCUGAAGAAUGGGGGCUGUGAGGGGGCAGAAGGCCACGGUGCUGAAAGGAAGAGCCAGAAUGAAGAAAACAAGAAGGAAGGGCAACGGGAUAGAGGCAAACCCAAAUGUCCCAAGGUGCUUUGCAUGCAAAUGCUUUUGAGCCCCAACCACUCCAGAAGGCAAGCAGGGCCAUUAGAAGGUUAAAAGAAGACCCACGCAGUCAGUCUCUGAGGGCAAGAAGGCAGAUCCUAAGAGCAUCAGGGGACCGUUCAUCGUCCAAACGCAAUGCAAGGGAAAAUAUCAGCAAGUGGAAUUAUGCUGCAAGAACCUCGACUAUAAUGUCACGGGGAAUGAGUCCAAGAGACGUUUUAAUGACAACUCCAAUGCCAGGGAUCAAAGAGUAUGACAUAAGCUUUAAGAGCAGGGCAAUUAAGAAUGUGUUUUGGAAGGAAAAUCUGGAAGAAAAAAAUGCGUACUACCAGCUGUGGUAAUGCCGUUGAGUAGACCAAGGAGGAAAAUAAACACAUAUAGUUAGAAACAAAAUGGCUGCACUUAUAAAUGUUGGCUAAACGAGAGGUUAGAAAGAUCACUCUAUCGUUCUACCAAAGCAUGCCCGCAACUGAGACCAGAUUUGGCAUUCGACGCCCUUGGGUUGAAAACCCAGGUCUUCUACUUACCACCUCUGUGAACGUGGGUGACUUUCUCAAGCCAUUGAGAGACUGUUUGAGACUCUGCUUCUUUAUCUGUGAAAAGAAGAUAGUAGUACCUACUUUAUGAGGGUUGUUGCUAGGAUUAAAGGGCCUAAAGUAUACCUAGUGCUUCAGAACAGUGGCUUUACAAAGAUUCUAUAAAUGAUGGCAGUGGUAGUGGGGUCACGGUUAGUACCAUUCAGUUUCACGAAGAUACCCUUUUCAGGUACCCAUGCCCUGUUCCCCCAAGUAGAUUUUACCCUCCAAAAGGAGCCGUGCAAAUCUGUCAGAUUAGCCCGACCGAAACAACGCCAGAAUCUGGUCUCUUAUUCUGAGCUGUCUGUGUGCAAGACAGCGUGAAGAGCCCGAUUAAGGUGCUCAAGCCAGGAUUCCCAUUCCAUGGUCCCUUCCAUUCCAGUGCCAGAAAUGAAGCGGCAGACCUCCCUGUGGCCCAAGGCAGACUUGCAGGAGCGCCAUGGGAGCAUCACAACCAGUGGGCCCGGGGUUAGCGGAGAGCACAGUCAUUCACGGCUAGCACCGUGGAAAAGGAGGCAAUUUACCAGACAGUCCUGACAAAAUGACUGAAUGGAUCCCAGAGACACUGAGCCCGGGUACAUCCCUCAUAAAUCAUAGUUGAAGGACAAGUGCAGAUGACCAUGGUUUGUACAAGUAUCUCUGGUCUGGGACAAGGGGUCCAGAGGAGACAACCCGCUGCCCAGCCAGGGGAGAAGAGAAGGGCCGAGGCAAUCAGAUGUCGUCCAGGCAGAUAGGAGUCAGGGUCUGUGGCAAGACUGAGCCAGAGGCAUGAAGACAGACUCUGAAAGGCAGGCCGGAUGCAGUGUUGGGGCCAAGGCUGACUUUUGUUAGGAGAGCGCCAAACCUGGAAACGAAGCCAGGAGAGAAGUAAACAUGUGAAGAGAACAACUGCAUUCUUUCAGAGUGAGAGAGAAGGAUUGAGAAAGAAGGACAGACAGGAAGACAAAUGGAAGGAGAGACUGACCGACCGAAAGAGAGGGACUAACAGGCAGACUGGUCGACAAAGAUGGAGACUGACAGAGACAGAACAGACUAGCCUGGCUGGCUUUCCCUUCCUGGGUCCCACGCGUGGUGGACACAUGGCUGCGGAGUUGGGGAACGGCUCCCCGAGAAGGUGGGGCAGGGGCUGGGCAUGCCGCAGCGGGGAGACCAGAUGUCAGGAGAGGGGGGCCCCAAGAGUCAGAGCUUUCCUUCAAACUUCCCAACAGAUUCUUGAACAUAAUUAUAGAAGCAACGCAGACUCCAGCCCAGCAUCUUUGUUUUCCUUGUGCCAUGCUGUUCUCAGGGCAUCUGAGUCCUCAGCAAGGAACUGUCACAUUCAUUUCAUUCUAUAAGAAGACAGAAAGCUUUGAUGGCAUUCUGCUAAGAAAGCUGGAAUCAGGGUACAGAUCUCCCAAAUAGGACGAGUAUUUUUUUAGGGUAGUUGUUCAGCAGAGGCAGGACAGUGGCUGAUGUCACCACCCCAGUGUGAACAGCGCGUAAGCAGCCCUGCUCUCUGCUCCUGCCUUGGCCACAAACUAGCUCUGUGAUCUUGGACAACUGACUUGACCUAUCUGGAGAUCUGUCUGUAAAUUCACAAAACGAGGAGAUUGAACUGGCUGUCUUUCAGGCUUGCUUGCGGUGCUGCUACCAUUUUAGAUUCUGUGGUCCCACAAACCCCUAGUUAUUUAUACAUCAGGCUUUUUCGCAACACCUGAAUAGUAUUGCCAACUAUGUCAAUAAUAUUUUAUUUAUUAUAUUACUAUGAAGUGAAUAGGUUAUUUAUCUUGUCCCAGGACAACUUGUACUUGAAUACAAUUUCAACAUGCAUAGUAAAUCUCUCCUCCUGUGAACUCCAAAAGCAUUUAAAUCUAGACACCUCUUGGUACUCACCACAUUCUGCUUUAGGCUAUGCUUAUUCAGGAACAUGCCUUAUUGUCCAUUACUAGAUGCUAAGCUCCCCAAACGCUACCUGGAAACCCAGCUGCAAAGAGAAAGAACGGAGCUACCAAGGCCGCUUUCACCUUUGCAGGUCCAAGAGCAUACGCGGCGCGUUUAGUGCGUGUUUGUGGAGCAAACAUCUAUUUGGAAAGGAUGCAAAACUUAAAAGGAAUUCAUCAAAUGAACCUAAUGAAAUCCCAUCCUUGGCUGCCCCCACCCCAACACAGCAGCGCGGCUAACCUAACACCUUUGCCUAGAACUAAUAAAUAUUGACCAACUUGAACGCAAAUGGCCUCUAGCCUCAAUGCUGCCGAAAAGUUUGGGAA